rnacentral:rRNA from 1 species
AUCUUCCACAAUGGGCGAAAGCCUGAUGGAGCAACGCCGCGUGAGUGAAGAAGGUUUUNGGAUCGNANAACUCUGUUGUAAGGGANGAACAAGUACAGUAGUAACUGGCUGUACCUUGACGGUACCUUAUUAGAAAGCCACGGCUAACUACGUGCCAGCAGCCGCGGUAACACGUAGGUGGCAAGCGUUGUCCGGAAUUAUUGGGAGUAAAGCGCGCGCAGGCGGUCCUUUAAGUUUGAUGUGAAAGGCCACGGCUAAACCGUGGAGGGUACUAGGAAACUGGAGGACUUGAGUGCAGAAGAGGAAAGUGGAAUUCCAAGUGUAGCGGUGAAAUGCGUAGAGAUUUGGAGGAACACCAGUGGCGAAGGCGACUUUCUGGUCUGUAACUGACGCUGAGGCGCGAAAGCGUGGGGAGCAAAC